GAUGAACGCUGGCGGCGUGCCUAAUACAUGCAAGUCGAGCGAAUGGAUUGAGAGCUUGCUCUUAUGAAGUUAGCGGCGGACGGGUGAGUAACACGUGGGUAACCUGCCCAUAAGACUGGGAUAACUCCGGGAAACCGGGGCUAAUACCGGAUAACAUUUUGAACCGCAUGGUUCGAAAUUGAAAGGCGGCUUCGGCUGUCACUUAUGGAUGGACCCGCGUCGCAUUAGCUAGUUGGUGAGGUAACGGCUCACCAAGGCAACGAUGCGUAGCCGACCUGAGAGGGUGAUCGGCGACACUGGGACUGGGACACGGCCCAGACUCCUACGGGAGGCAGCAGUAGGGAAUCUUCCGCAAUGGACGAAAGUCUGACGGAGCAACGCCGCGUGAGUGAUGAAGGCUUUCGGGUCGUAAAACUCUGUUGUUAGGGAAGAACAAGUGCUAGUUGAAUAAGCUGGCACCUUGACGGUACCUAACCAGAAAGCCACGGCUAACUUCGUGCCAGCCGCCGCGGUAA
rnacentral:rRNA from 1 species